UGUUUUGUAAUUAUAGAAUGGGUAAGGUAGGCGUGUAACGUAAUUCCCACCUAAUUUUGUAUAGGUUUAACGAAUUUGUACCUAAUGGAGGUGAACGAUGCCUUCUUGUAUUAAGUAUUAUUGUGUUUAUAGAUACGUACGGAAAUUUAAUAAAGUCUGACCAGUAAUAAUCUAAUAAUAUAUUGCGGAUUAUUGGGAAUGUCAUUGUUGCGGAAUUUCAUUGGAACAAUUUUUUUUCACACUAUACUGAACUGUCACUAAUAGGUAAAAGACAACAGCGCCCUCUUGACGAUGAUCAUAUAUUAGUCAGGCUUUACUAACCAAACAUUUUUAUAAGUAUUUAAUAAAAUUUAUAGACAAAAUAAAUGAAUAGUGGUGAAUUGUAAUUAUCUCUCGAUUAAAAUAAUGAACUUCUCAUCAAAGCCCGUUUCUAUUGAGCUGAGCGAUAGCAGGUAAAAUUGUUUAUAUUAUACGUGACUGGAUAAUGUAAUAAAUAAUGUGUGCGAAUGAAACAAUGUAGGUAUUAUCACGAAUAAUGUAUUUAUUGUACAAUAAAAUAAUUUAAACAACUCUCACGCAGCGCGCAGUCAACUGUACAUACACACCUACCAACAAUCUUACAUUAACAGUAUAUAAAUAACUUACUUAACAUUAGGUAUGGCAGUAUAUAUCUUACAGGAGUUUUCGUGUUUGAGCGGCGAGACUCCGCUGGUAACUAAGUUUUAUUUUGGCCACUGCGAUCGAGCAGGAAAAAUAAACUAAUUUUUUUCUGUGAGAUUAGCACAACCUGCCACUCAACUUUUAGUCAUGUGAGGUAAACUGGGUGCCUAGCCAAAAUGCCAAUAUGAGACGAAAAUAUGGAAGAGCAUCUUGACUAGGUAUAGGCACCCUGUUCCCUAUUUUUUCCUGUGAAGAUCGCGAGACUUGUGAGAUAGACUGAAGAUUGGUGUGUCACCUGAAAUGGUCAGUUGUGCUAGCUUUGUGGGUACUACUUAAGUAUAUUAUAUAUAUCAUUUUAGUGUUUAUUUGCUCAGGGGGUUUAUGUUUCAUUACUCCGACUAAAACUUCAAAUCUAAAGACAUACCCCCUUAUUCAUAAAACUUUACGGGCCUGAUUUAGUUAAAUGAUGUUUUAUCCCUUCCUUACAAAUACCUACAUAAGUAAUAAUGUCUGCAGGUGAAGACAAACGAUUCAUAGCUAAUUCAAGCCAGUAACGAGUUUAUGAACGAUAUGCUUUAGGGCAGGCACGCAGCACACAAGUCACUCGGUCGUGUCCCUAUAGGUAUUUUAUAACAUUCAUUACAAUAAGGUUUGUCGCAUGCCGAAUAGUGACGUCUACUUACAUGAUGCAAUCUGGAGGAACGCGUUAUGUUAUGAGGCAAUAAAUAAUAAUAAUAA